rnacentral:rRNA from 1 species
UACGGAGGGGGCAAGCGUUAUAAGGAAUCACUGGGUUUAAAGGGUGCGUAGGCGGUUAGAUAAGUCAGAGGUGAAAGUUUGUCGCUUAACGAUAGAACUGCCUUUGAUACUGUUAAGCUUGAAAGUAGGUGAGGUUGGCGGAAUGUGACAUGUAGCGGUGAAAUGCAUAGAUAUGUCAUAGAACACCGAUUGCGAAGGCACCCGGCUAACCUGACUUUGACGCUGAGGCACGAAGGCCUGGGUAGCGAACAGG